CCCAUCUCACCCCAGCUCGCUGUCACUGUUCGAGAGGGCAGUCCUUUCGUUUAGUUUCUUCUCGUUGGUCUCAGUUGUGCCCUCGCGGUCCUCUUAUACAAGACACCCUCAAGACAGCCAUCAUGUCAGUUCCCCUACCAUAUACUUUCUAAGCUAAAUAUCUAAAGUUCCUUCAGUUAUCUUCUGUGACAUCUAUCAUGAUGAAACUGCUCCUGGUCUCUAUGUCUCAUCUUUGAAAGCCUUUGCUGAGGGAUUUGCCCAGGUACCUUAACUCCAGGGACUUUAAAGGUGUCUAAUCCUUCCAGACCUGCUCAGCUGUAAAUUACUGCGUUAGCGCUUAAGAAGGCCAGCCUUGCCUGUUAAACCAGCAUCAGCCGAGCACCUCUUCAUCCUGGGACCAUGACCUGAGUCCUCUAGCUGCCUCAGGCCUAAUUUACAGAGCUGGGCUAUCACUCAAGCAGGAGCAGUGGAGGAAACAAGAACCACCGCAGCAGGGUUGGUCCUGGAAAUGACAUUGUGCACCAACAGACUUCCUGCAGAAGGUUUCCAAGCAUAAGAGAGACCCCUGAAGUACCUGGGCAGCCCACCCACUACUGAAACAAGACGAAAGUGCCUCUGGGAAGGAGAUGACAAAUAUUCCUCUUGUCUUCCAUCACUCAAACCAAUUAAAAAGUAAAACAAAAGUACCUAAAAAGAGGCCAACAACAGCAAUCAAUUCUCCCAGUUUAUAAUCAAACAGGAUUUCAGCAACCAAUGAUGUUAAAAAAAAUUUCUACCAUAUGCCUCAUGUGUUACUCUAGUAAAUGAUUUCUUUCAUCAUCAAGAGAGUUUAUAUGACAUUCUCUUGACAAUGAAAGAAUUUAUUUCCUAGAACAAAACUCUGGAAAAAGUCAUGUUAAGAAUCAUGCUGGCAUAAGUCAGGUGUAUCUAAGGGCCUGGCCUUCUGGCCUAAAUUUUAUCAUUCAGUCACGACUGGAAAAUAUUCCAAACCACCCCCCUAAAACUGCACACAGUUAACAA